rnacentral:rRNA from 1 species
CCUACGGGAGGCAGCAGUGAGGAAUAUUGGUCAAUGGUCGGGAGCCUGAACCAGCCAAGCCGCGUGAGGGAUGAAGGUCCAGAGUAUCGUAAACCUCUUUUGUCAGGGAACAAAGGCGGGGACGCGUCCCCGGCUGCGUGUACCUGACGAACAAGCAUCGGCUAACUCCGUGCCAGCAGCCGCGGUAAUACGGGGGAUGCGAGCGCUAUCCGGAUUUAUUGGGUUUAACGGGUGCGCAGGCGGUCUGUUAAGUCAGCGGUCAAAGCCCGGGGCUCAACCCCGGCCCGCCGUUGAAACUGGCAGUCUCGAGUUGGAGAGAAGUAGGCGGAAUGCGCGGUGUAGCGGUGAAAUGCAUAGAUAUCGCGCAGAACUCCGAUUGCGAAGGCAGCAUGCCGGCUCAACACUGACGCUGAGGCACGAAAGCGUGGGUAUCGAACAGGAUUAGAUACCCCAGUAGUC